rnacentral:lncRNA from 1 species
ACAGUAUUUUAAUGAUUAAGACCUCAGAAAAGGGAAUGUAGAUUAUGAUGUUCGAGCUUCUCGUGUAUGAAGUCAAGGUCGAGAAAGAUGCAACUUUGCGGUUAACCAUGUUUUCAUGCCCAAAUCGAUGCUUAUUAGUUACACUUGAGGUGGUCUUACCUCUAAGCAACUGCUGUAUCUUACUUGCGAAUAUUAUUAAGGCCUUCUCACAAAUUUGGUGAAAUUAAUGCUGUUUGAUUUUAUGAUAACGUUCUGGUGCAAGGAGUAACUGACGAUUUCUUUUCUAUUCUUCUUGUAGGGUUGAUGUGGUCAUAUUCGUCAUAUGGGAACUUGUCGUUCUUGCCUUCUUAGUGUUUUCGGCCGUGUCUUUGUAUUUCAGGCACAU